rnacentral:rRNA from 1 species
UAAAACCAGCACCUCAAGUGGUCAGGAUGAUUAUUGGGCCUAAAGCAUCCGUAGCCGGCGCUGUAAGUUUUCGGUUAAAUCUGUACGCUCAACGUACAGGCUGCCGGGAAUACUGCAGCGCUAGGGAGUGGGAGAGGUAGACGGUACUCGGUAGGAAGGGGUAAAAUCCUUUGAUCUAUUGAUGACCACCUGUGGCGAAGGCGGUCUACCAGAACACGUCCGACGGUGAGGGAUGAAAGCUGGGGGAGCAAACCGGAUUAGAUACCCGGGUAGUCCCAGCUGUAAACUAUGCAAACUCAGUGAUGCAUUGACUUGUGGUCAAUGCAGUGCUGCAGGGAAGCCGUUAAGUUUGCCGCCUGGGAAGUACGUACGCAAGUAUG